UGGUGACAUCUUUAGAUUUUAAUCCCUUGGAGGUUGUUUUGUUCUCCAAGGUCACCCCAAGCGAAAUUGCUAAUUCAUUCAAAAGUUUUGUAGUU